UAAGGUGCAUCUAGUGCAGUUAGUGACGUAGCGUAGAAUCUACUGCCCUAAAUGCUCCUUCUGGC
rnacentral:pre_miRNA from 1 species